GACGAACGCUGGCGGCGUGCUUAACACAUGCAAGUCGAACGAGUGGCGAACGGGUGAGUAAUACGUGGGUAACCUGCCCUCUUUUUGGGAUAAGCCUUGGAAACGGGGUCUAAUACCGAAUAAAGGGGGAUGGGCUCGCGGCCUAUCAGGUGGUUGGUGGGGUGAUGGCCUACCAAGGCGGUGACGGGUAGCCGGCCUGGGAGGGUGACCGGCCACAGGGGAAGUGCGAUACGGCUCAGACUGGUACGGGAGGGGGAUGUGGGGGAAUUUGCACAAUGGGCGAAAGCCUGAUGCGGCGACGCCGCGUGGGGGAUGAAGGCGUUAGGGUUGUAAACCUCUUACGCUAUCAAACGGGUAGGUGGAGAAGAAGCGCCGGCUAACUACGUGCCAGCAGCCGCGGUAAUAC
rnacentral:rRNA from 1 species